GGGAAAGUUGCAAAGCACUUUGAAGAGAGAGUUAAAGAGGACGUGAAACCGGUGAGGUGGAAACGGACAGAGCUGGCGUAUCUGGCCUGUAUUCAGCCCGCAAGCGGUUGGCGCCGAGGCAAGUGCUUCCAGAUUGGGGCGCUGCUUUGCGUGCUGGCUGUUUGAGGGUGCAUUUGCAGGUGGAGUGGCGCCGAGGCGUUCGGUGCAGCGACAUGAUCUGGGACCUGAGGCCAGCCCGUUUGCGCGGCGCUGGUACCCGGUCUUGGGGAGUGUUGUUUGUGCUGGACGACAAUUGCUUUUGGGUGUUGGUUUCGAGCUGUGUUGGUGCCGAGCUGGCGGCGGGUGGCGGCCGCGUGCGACACGUAUUCGUUGUCGGUUCGGUUUCGGCGCAGUUCCCAUGCACUCGCCCUCGGUGUAAAAGCCGGUCAUCUGUCCGACCCGUCUUGAAACACGGACCAAGGAGUUUAGCGUGUGCGCGAGUCAUUGGGCGUUGAAAACCCAAAGGCGCAAUGAAAGUGAAUGUCUCCUCACGGAGCUGAUGUGCGACCCUGUGCGCCUCGGUGUGCGGGAGCAGCAUGGUCCCGUCCUGACCGCUUGCGGUGGGGCGGAGAAAGAGCGUGCGCGCUGAGACCCGAAAGAUGGUGAACUAUUCCUGAGCAGGACGAAGCCAGAGGAAACUCUGGUGGAAGUCCGAAGCGAUUCUGACGUGCAAAUCGAUCGUCUGACUUGGGUAUAGGGGCGAAAGACUAAUCGAACCAUCUAGUAGCUGG
rnacentral:rRNA from 1 species